GAACCUGCCGUUCACCAUGAUGGCCAUCCUGGUGCACAGCGCUUCACAUUCCUCCAUACUAAGAGUGAACAGAACACAGUUUGCAGACAUUCACCCUAGGAGGCAUAAGACUUUGAGCCAGUUGUCCAAGAAUGCUUCUCCUUUGGUGACCACAGAGUCUCCGGUCAGCAUUUUAAAAGUACUUGUCUUUCCGGCUCCGUUGACACCAAGCAGACCAAAACACUGAAAGGAGGAGGAAACAUAAAGUCGUGUUGUGAUGUUGCUUACUUGGGUUCAAAGAAAAAACGGUACUGGAUAAGGACUGUGAUGAUGAAGAAAACCACUCC